UGCAAGCACGUUGGUUGUGGCAUUCAAGGACGGAUGAAGAAGAAGAUGGCCCGUCAUGCAUUCAUUAUGCCCGCCAUACAUUCAUUUACUGUGCGCUGAAAUCCUCGUAAAGUGGUCUCUUCUUGCAUGUUGACGCCUGGUCCAUAUGAGAAUACAGCUGCUUAGUGCCUCGGCGGGAGUUCAGCGAAGUCUAUGCUGCAGUUCGGAAGACUCGACCGUGUCGGGCUCACGUCGCAAGUGAUCUGCAUAGGCUAGUAUACCUUAUGUGCUUCGAAAGUUCCUUGAAGUUGCGCAGACAAGGACUACUAGAUCCGUCGAGCAGUGUAUCUGGGGGUAAGUCUCCCUGGGCACUCGGUUGCCCUGCGACGUAAAACCACGGAGGUGGCCACCAAGAGAUAAAUCUCAAGGAAUAUGUGGUAUCAUCCCAGUAGUGUACUCAUGGACGGUUUCGUUGGGGAAUUUGUUCCCGAUGUGGUUCACUUGUACCCUUGUUUUGACGCCGCUGAAGAUUUUGAAGCCUUGUUGUAGCCGCUGAGGACUUGCUGUGAAUAGUAUCAUGUAUCGAUAUUGUCACCAUCGAUUUCCUCCUCUACGAACGACUACUAUGACAUGCUCUGUUUACUGAAGCUGGUGUAGGCAACUUGGAUCAUAUUUUCCGAUUUUGGAAAAAACGGGGUUGCCAGCUCGAUACCUCAGAGAUGUAUAUGACGAGGCAAAAGCCGUUGUAGUGCAGACAAGAUAGACUCUGGCACCCUGGUUUGACGCUAUCAUCAGCGUUGAAGCUGUCGAAGAGACUUGCUGAGAACAGUGUCCGGGUCGUACCCAUACCGUCGUCGUCGAUUUCUUUUUAGCAAUACUUGCUUGCUGUUCUCCCAGCUAUGCCCAAACAGCUGACUCUGUUUUCCGAUGCUAGUGGUUACGGCAUGCACCAUAUUUUCCGAGUUCGUAGAACUGGGGCUGCUAUAUAGCUCUGUUAACGCUGGGGCGGCAUAGUAGAGGGGAUGUUAUAGUUUCUGGUAUCCCGAUCUGACACCAGAACAGUGUUGAAGCUGCCGAAAAAGUGCCGCGAACAGUAUCAGGGCACGUCUAUACUGCUGCCAAAGGUUCUCAUUUUCUUUUUAGCCGUACUUGUGCGCUGUUCUCUCAGCUACUUCUCUUUACAGCCAGGCCUGUUUCCUGAAGCUCAUCUAGGCGGUGUGCACCAUAUUUUCCGAGUUUGUAGAAACGGGAGUUGCUCGAUCAGGUACCUCUGAUACGUAUGAUGAAAACAUUGCAGAGUGGAACCCUGACUUGACGCCGGAACAGUAAUGAGGUCGCCAAAGACUUCCUGCUGACAGUA